rnacentral:lncRNA from 1 species
GAGGCGAAGUAUCAGGAAUCCUCUGGUUCUUCUUUUGGUACAGUUGGAUCAAUGGAGACAGGUACUGCUGUAUCUGAAAAAUAAAAGAAUAAAAAAUUGAGUUCAUAAAGGCUGAAAAUAGGAGAAGAGUGAGUAUGAACAAAGAGACGUACCAAGAGGAAGAAUGGUUUGACGAAAUGCUUGUACAGUGGACCGAUUGAAAAUACGAUCGGUAAAUGGUCCCAAGUGAUGCUAACGAAAUCCCAAUACCUCUGUGUAAUUCGGCCUGAAACUCAUUAAUUUGAAGAAUCGCCGAAGGCGAUUCCCCAUAGCCGAAAUCCGAUCCGCAUCAGCUAUGCUCUUGGUAGGGGGCCGGUUAAAGGCAGUAUUAGCAGUGAAGAAUUUGACCGGAAUAGGAAUUG